UACGUAGGCAGCGAGCGUUGUUCGGAGUUACUGGGCGUAAAGGGUGUGUAGGCGGUUCUUUAAGUUUGGUGUGAAAUCUCCCGGCUCAACCGGGAGGGUGCGCCGAAUACUGAGGGUCUCGAGUGCGGGAGAGGAAAGUGGAAUUCCUGGUGUAGCGGUGAAAUGCGUAGAUAUCAGGAGGAACACCGGUGGUGUAGACGGCUUUCUGGACCGUAACUGACGCUGAGACACGAAAGCGUGGGUAGCAAACAGG
rnacentral:rRNA from 1 species